GAGGUGUUUACGACGAUUUUGGUUACGUGGUUUUUACGACGAUUCCGUCCUACGUGGAAUUAAAGUGGGCCGCGUUCAUCAUUUAUUUUACGUGGUAUUUACGACGAAUCUCUCCUACGUGGUAUUUACGACGAAUUUGUCCUACGUGGUAUUUACGACGAAUCUCUCCUACGUGGAAUAAACGAGGAAUUCGUCGUAAGUUCGACGUCAACAUACGAGGAAUUAACGAGUAUUCCGUUUAAAUCCCUAAAAUCCGAAACCCCAAACCCCAAAC
rnacentral:lncRNA from 1 species